rfam:Vicugna pacos cont1.116627, whole genome shotgun sequence.
UCCUCAGAGCGUCUCACUGUAGAGCAACAGGAAGUGUUGUUUAUUAAUAAGCCUGACUGAGGUCACACCCAAGGCAACAUCAGAGCUUCACCUCUCUUGGGCUUGGGGAGAGGUUCAAGGAUCAAGGACAAGCU